rnacentral:rRNA from 1 species
AGUGAACGCUGGCGGCAUGCCUAACACAUGCAAGUCGAACGGCAGCACAGGAAGAGCUUGCGCCUACGGGUGGCGAGUGGCGGACGCGUGACGUAUACAUCGGAUACCACUUUUACGGGGGUGAUAACGUAGGAAAACUUACGCUAAUACCGCAUACGUCGUACGGGUGAAAGCACGGGUUCUUCGGGCUUUUUGCGAUGGUAUAAGCCGACGUCGGAUUAGCUAGUUGGCGGGGUAAAGGCGCAGCAAGGCGACGAUCCGUAGCUGGUCCGACAGGGAGGUCCGCUACCCGGGAACUGAGACACGGCCCAGACUCCUACGGGAGGCAGCAGUCGGGACUCUUACGCAAUGGGGGCAAGCCUAAUCCAGCAAUACCGCGUGAGUGAUGAAGGCCUUCGGGUUGUAAAGCGCUUUUGUUGGGAAAGAAAAGCAGCAGUUUUACCCGCGGCUGUUCUGACGGUACCGAAAGAAUAAGCUCCGGCUAACUUCGUG